rnacentral:lncRNA from 1 species
UUUCCAAGGAUGGGGUUUUAUAUGUUAAACUCCGGGCGGGUCAGCUCUCCUACAAAGAAGAUCCAAUGGGAUGGCAAAGUUUGUUGGCUCAGACUGUUGCUAACAGGAACUCUGAAGCCCGGGCUUUCAAGCCAGAAACAAUCUCAGCAUUCACUUCUGAUCCAGCACUUCUGUCAUUUGCUGAAUAUUUCUGCAAGCCAACUGUGAACAUGGGUCAGGUAUAUAUUCUAUGGUUUGCCGAGC